AAGAGACUGAGAUAUGCGUGUUCACCUCUGUGAACUCAACAGCUGCCCAAUAAUUACAGAAUUUGCUGAUAUCAGUGACCGUAUUAAUUCAUGUGAAUUUGUACACAACAAAACCCAUCAGUGUGUGCACACGCAGCUCAGUGAACCCACGUUUCUCACAUGAUUGAUGUGGGGUGUGGCAGAAUCACAUGUGGUGGUAAAAGACCCAUUCAGAGUGCAAAAGAGAACAGCUUUAACGUGCAGCAGGGAAAGCUCAGAUUUGGUUCUAGACACCACGGUUCAGCGAACCUUUAAAAAAGUGGCACUCGUCGAGUUUUGGUGUCAAAGAAUUCCCAUGGUUACUGAAAAGGCAAAAUUACAAUACCCCUCCCCCGGGAGAAGAGGCUGUUACGGUACCCCUCCCCCGGGAGAAGAGGCUGUUACGGUACCCCUCCCCCGGGAGAAGAGGGUGUUACGGUACCCCUCCCCCGGGAGAAGAAGGUGUUACGGUAAUCCACCAUACAUUAUCGGUGUGAGGCCAGAUUUUCUUCAUAUAGUUCAAUCAAAACAUCACAGUAGACUGGAUACGGAGGCACACAGGUUCCCCUCUGGCCCACGCAGCCAAGUGUUACAGUGACAGCGAACACAUAAAAUCAUGCCCUAGUUUCCAGAGUUGUUUUGUUUUGGAAUUUAUAGAUAACUUCAUAAAAGAUGUCGUUGGCCGGGUGCGGUGACUCACGCCUGUAAUCCCAGCACUUUCGGAGGCUGAGACGGGCAGAUCAAGAUGUCAGGAGAUCGAGACCAUCCUGGCUAACACAGUGAAACCCUGUCUCUACUAAAAAUACAAAAAAUUAGCCGGGCGUGGUGGCGGACACCUGUAGUCGCAGCUACUCAGGAGGCUGAGGCAGGAGAAUGGCGUGAACCAGGGAGGCGGAGCUUGCGGUGAGCCGAGAUUGCACCACUGCACUCCAGCCUGGGUGAUAGAGCGAGAUUCCACCUCAAAAAAAAAAAAAAACACCAACAAAACGUGUUGUUUAUGUUAACAUACAGUGAGUUUAUUGUAGUUACUAUUGACUUGAUAAAUAUAUUUAGAUAAAUAUUUUUAAAUAUUCUCCAAUUUCUUUUGAAUUUGGUAAGUAUCAAUAACCAUUACCUACAUAAACAGAAGCUCUUGGGGUCCUGAAUGACUUUUAAAAAUCUUUAAUUCUAGCCGGGUGCGGUGGCUCACGCCUGUAAUCCCAGCACGUUGGGAGGCUGAGGUGGGCAGAUCACCUGAGGUCAGGAGUUCGAGACCAGCCUGGCCAACAUGGUGUAAUUUCUACUAAAAUUACAAAAUUAGCCGGGCGUGGUGGUGGACGCCUGUAAUACCAGCUACUCGGGAGGCCGAGGCAGGAGAGUCACUUGAACCUGGGAGGUGGAGGUUGUAGUGAGCCAAGAUCACGCCACUGCACUCCAGCCUGUGCAAAAAGCGUGAAACUCUGUCUCAAAACAAAUAAAAAUAAAAAAUAAAUAAAAUGUUUAAUGCUUAUGGGUACAUAAUUAUCUGUGUCUAUGGGGAACACGUGACGUGUUGAUCACACCAGGGUAAUUGGGGCCACUGUCACCUCGAGCCUUUAUCAUUUCCUUGUAUUAGGAGCAUUCCAGUCCACUUUUCAGUUAUUUAAAAAUAUGCAAUAAAUUCUUGUUAACAAUAGUCACCCUAUUGUGCUACCAAAUAUCUGAUCUUAUUCCUUCCAUGUAAUUAUGUUUGUACCUAUUAACCAUCCCCUCACCACCCCCCUACUCCCCACCGCCCUUCCCAGCCUCUGGGAAUAUCUCCAUCAUUCUAGUCUCCAUCUCCGUAAGUUCCACUGUUUUCCAGCUCCCACAUAUGAACUGAAUGAUCUCUAAGACUGGGAAAGAGCCCUGAGACCCCACAAGAACAGUUGCUCUGGGGCCACAGGGAGCGGCUGCAGGUUGCAGGGCAGAGCUGGAGACAAGGCCAUGGCUCAUGAAGAUGCCGACCUGGAGGCAGAGGCAGAGGACGUUGGGUGCCGCUGGGGCCAUGCAGAGCCAGGACCAUGGCUCUGGGAGACGGAGGUGGACAAGGCCAGGAGAUACUGAGCAGGCGGCCACAUGAUCCACAAGGGGCGGCAGAUGUGUUGCGACAGAAGCAGGGCCCCACGAUCCAGAGCCUCAUGGGGGAAGAAGUAAGAAAAGAAGGGUCAGCAGUGGGCAGAGACAGCGAGGGGCUGGCAGGAGGGCAGAGUGCACCCUCUGGAGGAGACCAGGCUCUGCCCAUUGGGCCACUCAAAGUCAUGGGUAGGGAGCGCAUCUUCCAGUGCCCAGGGUCUUGCUGUGAAAGUAAGUGGGGUCCAACUGAAGCCCUCUAACUCCAGGAGCUCACGCCAAGCCCCGUCCACUGACCAUGUCCACGCCUCACCCGUGUGCCCCCCGACCACAUCCAUGCAUUACCCAUGUGCCCCUCUGACCACAUCUGUGCCCCAUGGGGCCAGAAAACAGCUGCUGAUGCCCCAAAGCCCAGAGAAGUUCCUUGUGGCUUCAUUUUCCCUCGUCCCUAGGAGGCUGGACACCCCAAACCACCCAGAAUGCUUGCCUUGCCCCAGUCGUGCUCCCUGACACGUGUGUGCAUGUACGUGAGCAUGGUGCAUAUGUGUGCAGGUCAUGGAUGUUCGUGUGCAUCUUUGCACUCUCUUCCGCCCCUGCUUCUUCCUUUACUGCCUAAGGCCCAUGUCAUGGGGACAGGAAUUUUGGCAUUUGACCUGGAAGCAUUUGCCCCACCUGGGCUUGGAGAGAGUUCUGGGCAGGCCCUCAAAGUUUGCAGGAGCCUCCAGAGGGCCUGAACAUAGCUUAGAUGCUGAGUGCAUUGCACACGCACCUAGAGCCAUACACACAAGCUCCAGGCCAUUGGCCCCGAGGCUGACCUCCCUCCCAGAAGGUGACGUCAACAACGCUGACUGUUGGGGCCACACACUGGAAACGGGCACGAGGGGGGCCACGCGCUGGACACGGGCACGAGGGGGGCCACGCGCUGGACACGGGCACGAGGGGGGCGGGCCCAGAUCAUGGGCACGAAGAGGGCCACAUGCUGGACAUCGGCACGAUGGGGCCAUGUGCUGGACACAGGCACAAUGGCAACCACGUGCUGGACAUGGGCACGAUGGGGGCAGGCCCAGAUCAUGGGCACAAUGGGGGUGAGCCCAGAUGGAAAGAAUGCCAGGCAUGGGCAUGUGGCGACCCCAGCCCUGGACGUGACACGCUCUCCCCACAAGGAAAGAGACGCACAGGCCUCGCUGGGCGGAGUUGUCCAAGUGCCAGACACACGUGUCCCGGCAGCUGGCACUGGCUUGGCACAGACCCGGCUCCCGGGGUCUGGCUUCUACAUGUGGAGCGGCAGGCACAGAUGCCAGCUCUGCACAGCAGCUGUGAGGGGAGGCCUGGCUGCCGCCUUCUGGGACCUAUGGCGGG
rnacentral:lncRNA from 1 species